AAUUUCAUGUACUUGAUGGUUGAGUUUCGCUGUGUCAAAUGCGAUGACAAGGAAUAUGGUAUUGUCUACUAUGAAAAGGUAUUCAUUCCCCUAGGAACUCUGCUUUCUGCUGUCAAGGGCUGGCCUACCAAGGAGUGCUCUUCCUGCUUACAAACGUGGUUUGGUUACAGAAGAGCAGCCAACAGUUUUCAGCUGCAGCUGCUUCUGCAUACACAACCACACCCAUUGCUGCAGCCCAUUCAGCUCAUGUAGGUCUGGGCUGCAAACUUCAAUAAGUGUGCUAGUGCUCAAAACUUUCUGAUUAAAAUUGUUCUGCCAGUCUAUGAUUAUGACCCUAAAGUAAUAGCAUAUUUACAGUUAUCCAUUUGUACAAUAAAUUGGAAAUGAGAAUGUUUUGUU
rnacentral:lncRNA from 1 species